rnacentral:rRNA from 1 species
AUUGAACGCUGGCGGCAUGCCUUACACAUGCAAGUCGAACGGCAGCAUGAUCUAGCUUGCUAGAUUGAUGGCGAGUGGCGAACGGGUGAGUAAUACAUCGGAACGUGCCCUGUAGGGGGGGAUAACAGUUAGAAAUGACUGCUAAUACCGCAUAAGACCACAGCACCGCAUGGUGCAGGGGUAAAAACUCCGGUGGUGUGAGAUGGACCCGCGUCUGAUUAGCUAGUUGGUGAGGUAACGGCUCACCAAGGCGACGAUCAGUAGCCGACCUGAGAGGGUGACCGGCCACAUUGGGACUGAGACACGGCCCAA